UGGGGAAUAUUGCACAAUGGGCGAAAGCCUGAUGCAGCGACGCCGCGUGAGUGAAGAAGUAUUUCGGUAUGUAAAGCUCUAUCAGCAGGGAAGAAAAUGACGGUACCUGACUAAGAAGCCCCGGCUAACUACGUGCCAGCAGCCGCGGUAAUACGUAGGGGCAAGCGUUAUCCGGAUUUAUUGGGUUUAAAGGGUGCGUAGGCGGACUUUCAAGUCAGCGGUAAAAUUUACCGGGCUUAACCUGGUUGUGCCGUUGAAACUGAGAGACUGGAGUGCGCUUGAGGUAGGCGGAAUGCGUUGUGUAGCGGUGAAAUGCAUAGAUAUGACGCAGAACUCCGAUUGCGAAGGCAGCUUACCAAAUCGCUACUGACGCUGAGGCACGAAAGCGUGGGGAUCGAACAGGAUUAGAUACCCUGGUAGU
rnacentral:rRNA from 1 species